rnacentral:lncRNA from 1 species
CUUAGUGCAAUGUUUAAAAGCCAUUAUCAAACUCACUACAAGGAUUAUUAUGUUGCUAUCUCUUCCGCUCGUGUGUCCAAAUGGUCACCCUGUCGUGGACUUAGGCCAGUUCCUUACCUCCACCUUGGACAAUGAAAAGGUCAGUAUAUUACACAUUUAAAUACAUAUAAACAUUGUAAACAAUACGGUUUUAGUUUGUUUCCUUAUGGUGCGUGGUUUUUGCUGAAAUCCGCGUUGUCGAUCAUGUUUAAAACCCCUACUUCUACAGUCUUUACUGAACCAGUAGGUGGAUUAUGGGUGAUCGGAGAGACGUUCCAACCGUGACCGAUCGGAAAACUAUGUCAUCGAUGUAUAUGGCUCUUUCUAUACAUAUAUAUGACAAUUUUUCCAAGGACAAUGGUUAAAAUUCAAACUUGUUUUAUUUUAUUGUUUUUUUUUAAUAUAUUUUACAUGCGCAGGAGUGGCUGUGUGGUAAGUAGCUUGCUAACCAACCACAUGGUUCCGGGUUCAGUCCCACUGCGUGGCAUCUUGGGCAAGUGUAUUCUGCUAUAGCCCCGGGCCGACCAAUGCCUUGUGAGUGGAUUUGGUAGACGGAAACUGAAAGAAUCCUGUCGUAUAUAUGUAUAUAUGUAUGUAUGUGUGUGUGUCUGUGUUUGUCCCCCUAGCAUUGCUUGACAACCGAUGCUGAUGUGUUUACGUCCCCGUCACUUAGCGGUUCGGCAAAAGAGACCAAUAGAAUAAGUACUGGGCUUACAAAGAAUAAGUCCCGGGGUCGAUUUACUCGACUAAAGGCGGUGCUCCAGCAUGGCCGCAGUCAAAUGAUUGAAACAAGUAAAAGAGUAAAGAGUAUGCAUACAUAUAUAAUACAUAUGUAUAUUUACACAUGCUCAUAUGUGCAUGCAUGUACAUAUUUAUACACAAAUAUACACAACAUACGGCACACACAUACCCAGACACGUAUACACACAUAUACAUCUACACAUAUGUACAUACGUAUCAAACAAUGUACGCUCGCACGGUUAUAUAUAACUGCAUAUAUGUAUUUUAGUACCAUGCAUUUCAACAUUUAUGCAUGGAUUACUACAUGUAAAUGAGAGAGAGAGAGAGAGCCAGCUUAUAGAAUACUUGUUCUAAACGAUUAUCAAGAACACACACUCACACAUGAAUCAUAAACUCCGUAUUUUUGUACGUGUUCCGCAAAAAAAAAACAGAAGAAAAUAAGCUGUAAAUGUAUCUAUUUUACAAUUUAUGAACCAAGCAAAUACGAAACUAUGGCGGCUAAAAACUGGUGUCUGACUUUUCGCAAAGCAUUGUGGGAUUGUUGUCGUAUGCUUUUCAAUGGCGACGGUCUCUGUUUUUUUAUUGAAUUUUCGUCUUUGAAUGUUUUUCCUGCAGCUAACAAUUAUGAAAGAAGUAGGUAAGAAAUUAUUAUUAUUGUUAUUGUUAAUAUCUAGAAAAAAUAAGUGAGAGUAGUUGGUGACGAUGUAAAGAGAAAAGCUGAAGGAAGUCUGUUGUGACGGAAGGCCGCUCGGUUUUCAUUUUAUUUAGUGGCAAAAUGUAUAAAAAGUUUGGAGUUGAGGUUCAUAAUUAAGAUGUUGGUUAAAACGAAAGAUUAUCUUUCGUUUCUAGUAGACCUUUCCGUCGAUUUCGUAAAAAACUUUUAUUUUUUUUUACAUAUGGGUUUGCGGGAACUUUUGAAGUAAUGAGAGCGAAAGAGACUAAGAGGAAGCGAUUGUAUGAGGAGGGAAUUUCUUUUUGAAGUUACCGCGAAUGGGAAGCUUUGAUGUACAUGUGUGUGUGUGUGUGUGUUGUGUUUGAUGGGGUGUGCGAGACAGAAAGUAUGUUGUGUAAGUGAAGUGCUUCUGUUAGUGUGUGUGAAGAGACAGAGAGAGAUAACUGAAAUUUUUUACUCGGUGUAUGUGUAUAUGUAUGUAUGCAUGUAUGUGUGUGUGUGUGUGUGUGUAUGUAUCUAUCUAUGUAUGUGUGUGUGUGUGUAUGUAUGUAUGGCCGAUUCAGUGUUUACAUUAUUUCGAGUUAAAACGAGAGAUUACCUUUGCCUGUUUAUGUAACGGUCUGCUAUGUAGAAAACAAUGAGGUUGACUCAAUGGAAUAAUGACAUUGAUCGAAGAUAUAGACACAUUUUUUUUUAUUUAAUCGUUAUACAUGCCUUGUCGACUGCUAUUGUGCAGCCUUAAUGUCUCUGUUGAUGUGACGAUGGUGAUAUGGUAAGAAAAAGACGGGAGAGUUAUAAAAUGAGGAGGAGAUAUUCUUCUCAUGAGAAAAGAGUUGCAUGCAAAGGAAAAAAAAAGUUAAGUCUAUAGAUGUGCACAGAAACUGGGUGCAAGCAUGCAUAUAUAUGCAUGUAACAUGAGACAUGUAAAAGUUUCCAUUUGCAUAAUACUUGGCUGCUUGUCACUUCAAAUAAAGAGUAUUGAACUGAUAUUAAAGCCAAAAUUUUCCUUUCGCUACUAUUAGGAAGUUUUUCAUUUUUACUUUCAGAGUUAAAAAAUGAAUGAUUACACUUAUUUGUUUACAUGCGAACUUUUGUUUAUUUUAUAUCCUUCUAUAUGUUGGAUAUGCAAAUUUCACGAAGCGGGGAUAGACACAACUGUCUUCACACAACCCACUUCAGAUUACUCUACUAAACACAAUACUUCUAAUAAAUAUAAACUCUGAACAAUGUCAACAACUUCCAUGAACUCCCAAUGACUCUCUUUGUCUCAACCAAUAUGCUAAUUUUUUUAUAAGAGUUUUGCUAGUCCAUUCUUCCAAUCCCAUAGGGGUGCCAAUGACUCUCACCACAACAGUUUAUACAUGUAGACUUUUCUUUAUACAUGUAGAUUUUACCAAGCAAGUAGCCCAUGCGAAGCUUCACCUAUAUGUAAGUACAUAAUUUUUUUGUUAAAUUAAGUUUUCUGUUAGUUAACCAUAGCUGUUUGUAAAUUGAACAACUGUUUCUCUGUGUAUAUUGAACAAUUUCCAUAAGACAUAUAUGUUUGCAAAUUUAAAAUAUGUUUGUUUCCCAAUGCCAUGGUUUAGGGUCUAGUUCUACUGUGUGGCAUUUUGGGCAAGAGUCUUCGACUAUAGGUAGGGACCAACAAAUGCAUUUUUAGUGAAAGUGGUUGAUGGGAACUAUAUGAAGCUUAUUGCAUGUGUGUGUAUACACCAUAUCAAUUAUGUGAUGCAUGUUAUAGGUAACUGUUGACAAAAAGUGCAAAAUACUCAUUGAAAAAUCAAAAUAAUUUAGAGUAAUGUCAAGAAGGGAUGUGGAAUGGAUAGUGAAAGGUCUGGCUUGGAAGGUGUCCCACAGUAUUGCUGCCUGGGCCUAUGUGUCAUCUUGCUACUGCAAGAGAGUACAGACCAUUGAAUGUUUGUGAAAUAUUGGCAUCUAAGAUUAUGAACUCUUUGGAUUUACUGAUUACCUUGAUGUCAGUGAGAUUGCCAUUGUCAAACAAGAGAUUUGUUACCUUAGUAAGUGUCUACCCUCCAACCAUGUGUUCCUCUGAAGAGAAAAAAAGGACUAAUAUUUUAUCUUUCAUGAAAAAAGCUUCUGUGCAGUAUUCUUUCUGCUUAUAAAAUCUUCAUACUUGGUGAUUUCAGAGAUAAAAAAAAUUGGGAUAUAAUUGGGAAACAUGAAGCCAGAAAAUGCAAUAGUAAUGGCUUGUUUAGUACUGCAAAUGUGUUCGAUUUUUGCAUAUACUGGGUAACUGUCAAUCUCCUAGUGUGGAGCAUGCUGUAUUUGAGCACCAAAUAUGUGGGAGUAUUUAUGUGAUCAAGAUGAAAGGCAAUUAGGUCUCAUUAAUUUCUGUUUGGUGAGUUGGCCCUGAGGAAAAAUCUAGGGAACAAAUUGAAAUUAAGGCAUGAAUGCAUUAGAGACACUUAGAGGAUCUAGAUCAAAUUAGAGACAGUGAAAACAUCACUAAGUUUUUGAUGGAAAAAAUUGUUUCAUGUUGGAAUGAGUGAAUUUGAAUGAAUGUCAAUAAAAUCUUAGUGUGCAUGAAAAGCUUGAGAGAGAUUUUUGAAAAGGUCUUAAUAUUAAUGUUUCCAUUGUGUUUUGCUUCAAAAACUACAUAGACAUGACAGAAUUAAAUAGACAUCCUUAUAAUUGUUAAAAUUUAUUUAAAUUAUUUAUUAAUUAUUAUAAUGUGAAUAUCUAAUAUUUAGUAGACAGGCUCCUUGCAUUUUUGAAUGCAAGGACCCUAGCAGGCAUGCUACUGAUCUGAUGAAUAUUCUCUUCAUGAUUUUCUUGCCAAGUUUCUUGCAGUAAUAUCAAAAGAUCUGGCUUUAAGGAUGCUUUCUUUUUCUUUUUAGGAAGUAUCCCAUCCAUCAUGCCUCAGAUGUGUUCAGUAGGGUUCAUAUCUGGUGAUUGGCUUAGCUAUGGAAGCUUUUUAAUGCCAUUCUCUUCCAACCAAUCCUGGGUCUUUUAGUUGUGCAAGAAAGCCCUAUCUUCCAUAAAUAGUGUUAUUUAAUCAUUUUACUCCUGGAGGUUAUAGGAAGAAGAUUUUUCUAUAAUAUGGACACAUAUUUAUCUGAGUUUAUGUAUCCCUCACAUUCCACCAUUUCUGAUUGACUAUUGCUCCAAACUGCUCUCUAGACCAUCACAUGUUUCAUUGUUGGCUGCAAUAUAUUCACGUGAAAAUAUUGGUGACUGAUUCUCCAGACCCACAUUCGAUCAGUGUCAGAAAAUACAGCAAAUCUGGAUUCAUCAGAGGAUUUGACUGUGUCCCAAAGUGCUAGUGACCUCUCUACCAUUUCACUUGUCCAAUCUUUUCUCCAUUUGAUAUUGGCUGGUCGAAGCAGUGUCUUCUUUCUUGCUGCUCUGCCAUAAUAGCCAAUUUUGCGGAGAUAACUGACAGCUAUUCUGGGACUGACAUCAACUUAUUCUGCUAUAUUGGAGGCCUUGCAAUGAGGAUUAUCUUACACACUUCUCUUAAGAAAGCAAAGUGUUGUCAGAGGGCCUUAGUCUACCUGGGUAAGGUGAUAUGGACUACUUUCCCGUUUAGUGAAUUGAAAAAUUACUCUAUUUACUGUAGAAAGUAGAAUCACAAUGUUUUCUGUGGUUUUAGGCUAAGUCAGCCUUGAAAUAGGUGCAGCAUAUGGCCUCUUUGUAAAUUGGACAUUUUUAAGGCUUCUUUUGUACAUGGCAUGAUUAAACAGUUACAUAUAGAACCUGAAACAUAUAAAUGUCAAUUAAUAAAAAAAAUAUAAACCUCUUCAAGUUAUAAUAACAAUGUGUUAAUGGGUAUCUAUUUACUUUUGUCAUGUUUGUGUACAAAUGUAUCAUUUGUUACAACUGCACUUUGAAAGAAAAAGAAAACCUUUAGUAGAAAAUUAGCAUUAGCUACGACAACGUUACCCAACU